rnacentral:rRNA from 1 species
ACGCACGCUGGCGGCGUGCUUAACACCUGCAAGUCGAACGGAAAGGCCCUGCUUUUGUGGGGUGCUCGAGUGGCGAACGGGUGAGUAACACGUGAGUAACCUGCCCUUGACUUUGGGAUAACUUCAGGAAACUGGGGCUAAUACCGGAUAGGAGCUCCUGCUGCAUGGUGGGGGUUGGAAAGUUUCGGCUGUUGGGGUUGGACUCGCGGCUUAUCAGAUUGUUGGUGGGGUAGUGGCCUACCAAGGCGUUGACGGGUAGCCGGCCUGAGAGGGUGACAGGCCACAUUGGGACGUAGACACGGACCAGGCUACUGAGGGACGGAGCAGUGGGGAAUGUUGGGCAAUGGGCGCAAACCUGACCCAGCAAGGCCGCGUGCGGGAAGGAGGCCUUCGGGUUGUAAACCGCUUUUGGGAGGAACGAAACGGUGUCCGCUAAUACCGGGCGCUAAUGACGGUACCUGGAGAAUAAGCACCGGCUAACUACGUG